rnacentral:rRNA from 1 species
CUCGUGUCAGGAUGAACGCUAGCGAUAGGCCUAACACAUGCAAGUCGAGGGGCAGCACAUGAGUAGCAAUACGAUGGUGGCGACCGGCGCACGGGUGAGUAACACGUAUGCAACCUACCUUUAACAGGGGAAUAACCCGUUGAAAAACGGACUAAUACUCCAUAACACAGGGGUCCCGCAUGGGAAUAUUUGUUAAAGAUUAAUCGGUUGAAGAUGGGCAUGCGUUCCAUUAGCUUGUUGGUGAGGUAACGGCUCACCAAGGCCACGAUGGAUAGGGGAACUGAGAGGUUUAUCCCCCACACUGGAACUGAGACACGGUCCAGACUCCUACGGGAGGCAGCAGUGAGGAAUAUUGGUCAAUGGAGGCAACUCUGAACCAGCCAAGUCGCGUGAAGGAAUGAAGGUCUUAUGGAUUGUAAACUUCUUUUGCAAGGGAAUAAAGUGGGGGACGUGUCCUCCUUUGCAUGUACCUUGCGAAUAAGGAUCGGCUAACUCCGUGCCAGCAGCUGC